rnacentral:rRNA from 1 species
CGCACGGGUGCGUAACGCGUAUGCAAUCUACCUUUCACAGAGGGAUAGCCCAGAGAAAUUUGGAUUAAUACCUCAUAGUAUAGUACUCUCGCAUGAGAUCACUAUUAAACAUUUAUCGGUGAAAGAUGAGCAUGCGUCCCAUUAUUUAGUUGGUAAGGUAACGGCUUACCAAGACUACAAUGGGUAGGGGUCCUGAGAGGGAGAUCCCCCACACUGGUACUGAGACACGGACCACACUCCUACGGGAGGCAGCAGUGAGGAAUAUUGGACAAUGGGCGCAAGCCUGAUCCAGCCAUGCCGCGUGCAGGAUGACGGUCCUAUGGAUUGUAAACUGCUUUUAUACAGGAAGAAACGCUGGUUCGUGAACCAGCUUGACGGUACUGUAAGAAUAAGGAUCGGCUAACUCCGUGCCAGCAGCCGCGGUAAUACGGAGGAUCCAAGCGUUAUCCGGAAUCAUUGGGUUUAAAGGGUCCGUAGGCGGUCAGAUAAUUCAGUGGUGAAAGCCCAUCGCUCAACGGUGGAACGGCCAUUGAUACUGUCUGACUUGAAUUAUUAGGAAGUAACUAGAAUAUGUAGUGUAGCGGUGAAAUGCUUAGAGAUUACAUGGAAUACCAAUUGCGAAGGCAGGUUACUACUAAUAUAUUGACGCUG